rnacentral:rRNA from 1 species
UACAGAGGUCCCAAGCGUUGUUCGGAUUCACUGGGCGUAAAGGGUGCGUAGGCGGUCGGGUAAGUCUGAUGUGAAAUCUCACAGCUUAACUGUGAAACUGCAUUGGAUACUAUCCGGCUCGAGGAAUGGAGGGGAGACUGGAAUACUUGGUGUAGCAGUGAAAUGCGCAGAUAUCAGGAGGAACACCGGUGGCGAAGGCGGGUCUCUGGGCCGAUAUUGACGCUGAGGAGCGAAAGCGUGGGGAGCGAACAGG